UACGAGGGGGGCAAAUGUUGUUCGGAAUCACUGGGCGUAAAGGGAGCGUAGGUGGGAGUUUAAGUUGGGUGUUUAAUCCCGGGGCCUAACCCCGGACCGGCACCCAAAACUGGGCUUCUUGAAUGGGACAGAGGCUAAUGGAAUUGGAGGUGUAGCGGUGGAAUGCGUAGAGAUCUCCAAGAACACCAGUUGCGAAGGCGGUUAGCUGGGUCCACAUUGACACUGAGGCUCGAAAGCGUGGGGAGCAAACAGG
rnacentral:rRNA from 1 species